ACGUUCGACCAUAACUCGAGGGAGUCUACCAGCUAAAACGGGAAGAAAUAUUACCAGCUGCGAGCUCGUGGAUGUUUUGUUUGUAGAUCAAAGGAUGACUCUUGUUGGCUUUAAAAACAAGACUCUGUGUUAUUAUGUACCAGAAAAGAAAUAAAA